rnacentral:rRNA from 1 species
GGCCCGCACAAGCGGUGGAACAUGUGGUUUAAUUCGAUGAUACGCGAAGAACCUUACCUGGGUUUGACAUGUUAGUGAAAGUUUUCUGAAAAGAAUUCCCUUUAAGAGCUUGCUCUUAAACACUAUCACAGGUGCUGCAUGGCUGUCGUCAGCUCGUGUCGUGAGAUGUUCGGUUAAGUCCGGCAACGAGCGCAACCCCCUAUCGUUAGUUGCUACCAGUUCGGCUGGGCACUCUAGCGAGACUCCCCGUGUUAAACCGGCGGAAGAUGGGAUGACGUCAAGUCCUCAUGGGCCCUUAUGGCUGGGGCUACACACGUACUACAAUGGCAACUACAGAGGGCAGCGAGACCGCAAGGUGGAGCCAAUCCCAAAAGGUUGCUCAG